UGUAAUAUUUUUUAUCUUUGAAUUUUUCAGCAAUGAGCAAUGAAAAUGACAUCAUUUCCCACUUUUCACUCCAAGGCUCUUCGCCAUUGUUCUUGUGCUUGUUAUGGAAGAUGCUUCUGGAUAAUGAUCGAAUAACAACUAUAGCCUAUGAAAUUCUGGAUCGAAUAGGUGCUAGAG